AUUGAACGCUGGCGGCAUGCCUUACACAUGCAAGUCGAACGGCAGCACGGGAGCAAUCCUGGUGGCGAGUGGCGAACGGGUGAGUAAUAUAUCGGAACGUGCCCAGUCGUGGGGGAUAACGCAGCGAAAGCUGUGCUAAUACCGCAUACGAUCUAUGGAUGAAAGCGGGGGAUCGCAAGACCUCGCGCGAUUGGAGCGGCCGAUAUCAGAUUAGCUAGUUGGUGGGGUAAGAGCCCACCAAGGCGACGAUCUGUAGCUGGUCUGAGAGGACGACCAGCCACACUGGAACUGAGACACGGUCCAGACUCCUACGGGAGGCAGCAGUGGGGAAUUUUGGACAAUGGGCGCAAGCCUGAUCCAGCAAUGCCGCGUGCAGGAUGAAGGCCUUCGGGUUGUAAACUGCUUUUGUACGGAACGAAACGGCUCUUUCUAAUAAAGAGGGCUAAUGACGGUACCGUAAGAAUAAGCACCGGCUAACUACGUGCCAGCCGCCGCAGUAA
rnacentral:rRNA from 1 species